rnacentral:SRP_RNA from 1 species
GCCAGGCAUGGUGGCACAGGCCUGUUGUCCUGGCUACCUAGGGAAGCUGAGACAGUAGGGUCUCUUGAGUCCAGGGAUUUGGGGCUAUAGUGCACAAUGCCAAUCAGGUGCCUGCACUAAGCUUGGCAUUAAUAUCGUGACCUCCUGGUAGCAGGGGACCACCAGGUUGUCUAAGGAGUGGUAAACCAGCCCAGGUGAUAAAUGGAGCAGGUCCAAACUUCCAUGCUGAUAAGAACAAUGGUAAUAUUAAUGUGCUUGUUAACAUGCAGGGGAAACAAAUUUGCAAUGUUCUACCCCUAAACAAAGAACUACAGGCA